AGUAGUCAUACGCUCGUCUUAAAGAUUAAGCCAUGCAUGUCUAAGUAUAAUUGAUACUUUCUAUAGAAACUGCAAAUUGCUCAAUAAAUCGGCUAUAAUUUACUUGAUGAUAUUUUCACUACAUGGAUACCUGUAGUAAUUCUAGAGCUAAUACAUGCGUAAAGUCUUAACUAUCCUUGGAUGGAAGAGAUGCAAUUAUUAGAUUUCAAGCCAACCCCCUUGUGGGACUUUUUGGUGAUUCAUGAUAAUUUUGUGGAUUGCACGGCUCUAUGCUGGCAAUACAUCAUUCAAGUUUCCGCCCUAUCAGCUUUGGAUGGUAGGGUAUUGGCCUACCAUGGCUUUAACGGGUGACGGAUGGUUAGGGCUAGACCCCGGAGAGGGAGCCUGAGAAAUGGCUACCACAUCCAAGGAAGGCAGCAGGCGCGUAAAUUACCCCAUGAGAAUAUCUUGAGGUAGUGACAAAAUAUAACAAUGCUGGGCCUAUAUAGGUCUGGCAGUUGGAAUGAGAACAACUUAAAUCUCUUAUCGAGGAUCAAUUGGAGGGC
rnacentral:rRNA from 1 species